rnacentral:rRNA from 1 species
UACGAAGGGUGCAAGCGUUAUUCGGAAUUACUGGGCGUAAAGCGUGCGCAGGCGGUUUGUUAAGUCCGCUGUGAAAUCCCCGAGCUCAACUUGGGAAUUGCAGUGGAUACUGGCAAGCUGGAGUAUGGUAGAGGAAGGUGGAAUUCCCGGUGUAGCAGUGAAAUGCGUAGAGAUCGGGAGGAACACCAGUGGCGAAGGCGGCCGUCUGGAGCAAUACUGACGCUCAUGCACGAAAGCGUGGGGAGCAAUCAGG